ACGCUGGCGGCAGGCUUAACACACGCAAGUCGAACGGUAACAGGAAUUAGCUUGCUAAUUUGCUGACGAGUGGCGGACGGGUGAGUAAUGCUUGGGAAUCUGGCUUAUGGAGGGGGAUAACUACGGGAAACUGUAGCUAAUACCGCGUAAAAUCUUCGGAUUAAAGGGUGGGACUUUCGAGCCACCUGCCAUAAGAUGAGCCCAAGUGGGAUUAGGUAGUUGGUUAGGUAAAGGCUGACCAAGCCGACGAUCUCUAGCUGGUCUGAGAGGAUGACCAGCCACACUGGAACUGAGACACGGUCCAGACUCCUACGGGAGGCAGCAGUGGGGAAUACUGCACAAUGGGGGGAACCCUGAUGCAGCCAUGCCGCGUAAAUGAAGAAGGCCUUCGGGUUGUAAAGUUCUUUCGGUGACGAGGAAGGUUGAUAGGUUAAUAGCCUAUCAAAUUGACGUUAAUCACAGAAGAAGCACCGGCUAACUCCGUGCCAGCAGCCGCGGUAAUACGGGGGGUGCGAGCGUUAAUCGGAAUAACUGGGCGUAAAGGGCACGCAGGCGGUGACUUAAGUGAGAUGUGAAAGCCCCGAGCUUAACUUGGGAAUUGCAUUUCAUACUGGGUCGCUAGAGUACUUUAGGGAGGGGUAGAAUUCCACGUGUAGCGGUGAAAUGCGUAGAGAUGUGGAGGAAUACCGAAGGCGAAGGCAGCCCCUUGGGAAUGUACUGACGCUCAUGUGCGAAAGCGUGGGGAGCAAACAGGAUUAGAUACCCUGGUAGUCCACGCUGUAAACGAUGUCGAUUUGGGGAUUGGGCUUUGAGCUUGGUGCCCGUAGCUAACGUGAUAAAUCGACCGCCUGGGGAGUACGGCCGCAAGGUUAAAACUCAAAUGAAUUGACGGGGGCCCGCACAAGCGGUG
rnacentral:rRNA from 1 species